rnacentral:ribozyme from 14 species
AUCGCAGAGGCAAGGGUGGAAGGGAGGAAAGAGCUGACCGACUGUUUUGGCGAGGGAAAUGUUGGGUCUUCUCGAAGGACCAAUGAGAAGAAGGGACUAUCUU